UACGUAGGGUGCGAGCGUUGUCCGGAAUUAUUGGGCGUAAAGAGCUUGUAGGCGGUUUGUCGCGUCUGCCGUGAAAAUUCGAGGCUCAACCUCGAACUUGCGGUGGGUACGGGCAGACUAGAGUGUGGUAGGGGAGACUGGAAUUCCUGGUGUAGCGGUGAAAUGCGCAGAUAUCAGGAGGAACACCGUGGCGAAGGCGGGUCUCUGGGCCGAUACUGACGCUGAGGAGCGAAAGCGUGGGGAGCGAACAGG
rnacentral:rRNA from 1 species